GAUCAGAUUAGCACUGAACAAUGGAAAAGAAGGUGGCGAUAGUAUUGAGCGUGAUUUUGCUCAUAAUCUCAGCAAAUAUGGUGGCGGUCAACUCCGACGCCUCCGACUGCAACGACGCCUGCACCACUGCCUGCGUUAAUCCUGACCCUAGACUUACGGCUCGAUGCAACACCAAGUGCGGGAUAAGGUGCGGUCCAGGACUCCAAGCAAAUGAGCAUUUAAACUGAUGUUUUGGAACUGGGAAGAGGAGAUUCCAGUUUAUAUUACUCCAUAUAUUACUGAAUAAAAUAAAUAAGUUGUUUUAUGAGGAUAAAACACAUGUUUGUGGGACACUAUGCUGUUUUUUAUGAGGAUAAAACACAUGUUUGUGGGACACUAUGCUGUGACGUUUAUGUACUGGAGUGGAUUUUAAUAUUUGAAAACGUAUUAUUUCGUA